UACGUAGGUGGCAAGCGUUGUCCGGAUUUACUGGGCGUAAAGAGCGCGCAGCGGUCGUAUAAGUCGAAUGUGAAAGCCCCCGGCUCAACUGGGGAGGGUCAUUCGAUACUGUUCGACUCGAAGGCAGGAGAGGGAAGUGGAAUUCCGGGUGUAGUGGUGAAAUGCGUAGAUAUCCGGAGGAACACCAGUGGCGAAGGCGACUUUCUGGCCUGUUCUUGACGCUGAGGCGCGAAAAGCUAGGGGAGCAAACGGGG
rnacentral:rRNA from 1 species